rnacentral:rRNA from 1 species
UACGUAGGGGGCAAGCGUUGUCCGGAAUCAUUGGGCGUAAAGCGCGUGUAGGCGGCCUUGUAAGUCCGUUCUGAAAGCCCCGGGGCUCAACCCCGGGAGGCGGAUGGAUACUGCAAGGCUCGAGUCCGGAAGAGGCAAGUGGAAUUCCCGGUGUAGCGGUGAAAUGCGCAGAUAUCGGGAAGAACACCCGUGGCGAAGGCGGUUC